UACAGAGGUCUCGAGCGUUGUUCGGAUUCAUUGGGCGUAAAGGGUGCGUAGGUGGCGCCCGUAAGUCGGGUGUGAAAUUUCGGGAGCUUAACUCCGAAACUGCAUUCGAUACUGCGGUGCUUGAGGACUGGAGAGGAGACUGGAAUUCAUGGUGUAGCAGUGAAAUGCGUAGAGAUCAUGAGGAAGACCAGUGGCGAAGGCGGGUCUCUGGACAGUUCCUGACACUGAGGCACGAAGGCCAGGGGGAGCAAACGGG
rnacentral:rRNA from 1 species